ACAUGCUAGAAGCAUAGUGUUAUUACAUUGGAUUCCAUUAUAACUCCACGGUUAAGCACGUUCAAGCUAAAGUAGUAUUGAGAUGGAUUACCGUUCUGAAAGUACGAGUGUUUUACAUGCC
rnacentral:rRNA from 1 species